rfam:PREDICTED: Tribolium castaneum uncharacterized LOC662495 (LOC662495), mRNA
GAAUGUGAGAGUGCAAGUGGACCAGCAGUGUCCCUUCUUCGGCCGCAAGGAGCGCUCACACAUUC